UACGUAGGUGGCAAGCGUUACUCGGAAUCACUAGGCGUAAAGCGCAGGUAGGCGGUUCGGUAAGUCUGUUGUGAAAGCUCCCGGCUCAACUGGGAGAGGUCAACGGAAACUGCCGGGCUUGAGUGUGGUAGAGGUAGCUGGAAUUCCCGGUGUAGCGGUGAAAUGCGUAGAUAUCGGGAGGAAUACCUAUGGCGAAAGCAGGCUACUGGACCAUCACUGACGCUGAUCUGCGAAAGCUAGGGGAGCAAACGGG
rnacentral:rRNA from 1 species